rnacentral:rRNA from 1 species
GAUGAACGCUGGCGGCGUGCCUAAUACAUGCAAGUCGAGCGAAUGGAUUAAGAGCUUGCUCUUAUGAAGUUAGCGGCGGACGGGUGAGUAACACGUGGGUAACCUGCCCAUAAGACUGGGAUAACUACGGGAAACCGGGGCUACUACCGGAUAAUAUUUUUAACUGCAUGGUUCAAAAUUGACAGGCUGCUUCGGCUGUCACUUAUGGAUGGACCCGCGUAGCAUUAGCUAGUUGGGGAGGUAACGGCUCACCAAGGCAACGAUGCGUAGCCGAGCUGAGAGGGUGAUCGGCAACACUGGGACUGAGACACGGCCCAGACUCCUACGGGAGGCAGCAGUAGGGAAACUUCCGCAAUGGACGAAAGUCUGACGGAGCAACGCCGCGUGAGUGAUGAAGGCUUUCGGGUCGUAAAACUCUGUUGUUAGGGAAGAACAAGUGCUAGUUGAAUAAGCUGGCACCUUGACGGUACCUAACCAGAAAGCCACGGCUAACUACGUGCCAGCCGCCGCGGUAA